CCAAUUAUAUAUAUAAAAAAAAGAAUGUUCGUCAUUUAUUUUUUUAUUGCAGGAAACCGGAGAACCCUGGGGAACCUCCACCAAGGCAUACGAGAGCCCAGAGCCUGAGUCCCCCCCCGGGGGGCUGUGGACCCCAGUAGCAGUUGCAGCGCCUGCACACGCGAUAUCUACCCAAAUACACGAGGACACUCAGGAGACCACGCGCGGGCCGACUGCUGGGGCGCGGGGUGGAGGCCCACGUGUGUUAAAUGGAACUCGUCACCACGGCCUGUGCGAGACGCCGCGGAGACGCGACGAUGAUGAUGAUGAUGCGGGCUCAGUGAGGUGGCCAUGAAAUGAGACGAUCGGCUACUUCGAGUGGCACCCGACUUCGCCAAACCGUCGUUGUUGCUGUUGUUGCUGUUGUUGUUGCUGCUGCUGUCGUUGUUAAAUGAGGGCUAAAGCGAGUUACUGCGUUUCUCAAAGCGUUGCAUCUCUUCCUCUUCUUCGUCUUCUUCUCCGGUUGUGCUAUCGGUGUCAUGGCACGAGACGAAUAACGGCGAGAACCUCCUGUGUUGGGAUAAAAUGCCCGCGUAAGGCGAUGUCACAGAAACACGGCCGAGUCCCCCUGCAAGACGACACCUCGCGCACACUAGGGGGCGCCGCACUCUCCAAUGCGCCCUGCUACGGAGCAGAUCGAUGGAUCGAUAUUCCUUCCGUGGAAGACGAACCAAAUGGUAACUGCUUUAUUCUGUGAAGUAACAAAAAAACCAAACAACCCCAAUGUGUAAAUCGUUGUUUGCGGUAAUGACUGACCGUCAAAACUCGCUCGACUUGAGAAACUCUGUUUAACCCGGGGACGACUGAGAUUCGGGAUUCGAGCCGACGAUCUCAGCGGCUCUGUGGUCUCUCGAACAGCCAGAGCCGGAGCCACCUCAGAGUUGAUGCUUUUUGUUGUUGUUGUU